AAAAAUCUUACUAACUAUAUUUGUUUUACAAUUUGUACUAUAGAUAAAAUCUUAAGUACAGCCACUCUGCUCGAAGUGGUACAGCGGUCUAGCGACUGGUGUUAUGAAUUGAAGCAAGGUGCGAAACGACCUAUAACAGUUUUGGAGGUACUCUGUGCGGGUAUUCUAACAACGAUAUAAUUUAGAAAGUAAGCUAAAUCGGGACUUCUGGGGCGGAGUACAGAAGAAUAGACGAACUAGUCUAUGUUAGAAUAAGU
rnacentral:sRNA from 12 species